GGAGAGAUGCGAGAGCUGGCUGAAUCGGCAUGACUGGAAAUCAUGUGUACGGGAAACCGUACCGUGGGUUCAAAUCCCACUCUCUCCG
rnacentral:tRNA from 1 species